UGUGUAUUCACAGAAAUAGAAUUAAAGGUGAGCUUGAUUUUAUACGAAUCUCAGGAAAUAAAUCGUCUCAACAUCCUUAAAUAUGAAAGCACCAAUAGUACUAUUCGUCUGUGCCCUAUUGACGGAAUGUUUCAAUGUGUGCGAAAGUUCCCACAGGGUCAGAAACUUAAGGACACCACCUACGACUCAGAAGCCGCCUGGCUGUCAUCACAACGGCAGACACUACGCCCCCUACGAAGAGAUAAAUUCAGGUCGGAGCGGGAACUGGUGCUACGGAUUGAUGUGCGGAUAUGAUGGGUACAUUCUGGCUUGGGACGACUGGAAUUGUGGGCCGACUACUCCUCCUUCAACUCCCCCAACUCCAACACCGCCGGGUGUGAAGUGAUCGGAAUACAAGUGUGAACUUAAGCUUUUGAUGUGCAUGCAUUUCGUUUUGUUGCUUGCCUUUUGGAAUUCGUUUCGUAACUAAAUAUUUUGGAUUACAUGCUUAUUAUCCCUCGCAUUAAUACAUCUCUCAGAUAAAGCUUACACCGCACAUAAUUUUUCCAAGCGCGGACAUUGAUAUUCGGUCAUUUCACCCAUUGACGAUUUUAAGUAUACUCCAUGGCCGAGAUUGUCCCAAACCGAGCGUAGGGUGUUAUGCGGUCAACGAGGUUAAGAUUUUUCAGACUAUUUUUACUUCAUAAAACAUGAAAUUGUCACUGUGAUUAUAUGUACGAAGUUUUAAGUUGUUAUCUUCCAUAGUGUAGGAAAAGAAAACCAUAAAAAUG